rnacentral:rRNA from 1 species
UACAGAGACUGCAAGCGUUAUUCGGAUUCACUGGGCGUAAAGGGUGCGCAGGCGCCAAGUGUGUCAGGUGUGAAAUCCCGAGCUUAACCUCGGAACUGCGCCUGAAACUACUUGGCUAGAGUACUGAGAGGGUAACGGAAUUCACGGUGUAGCAGUGAAAUGCGUAGAUAUCGUGAGGAACACCAGAGGCGAAAGGCGGUUACCUGGACAGUUACUGACCGCUCAGGCACGAAAGCGUGGGGAGCAAAAGGG